AUUGCGGUGGGUCAAGGUUAUUCACAAAUCAUCGAUGGGUAAUUAUAUAUAUAUAACUAUAUGACCAUUACAUAACUUAAUAUUAAUGAUGUCUUAUAUGAUAAUGUAGUGUGAUCCCGAGACUGGUGCAGAGGAGUUGCUGCCGAAUCUUUAUCAGCGAACACACCAAAGGUGAUCGGGGGAGUGGUGCGAGGGUGCACAAGGCAAACAUUCACGGAUGGUCGAACUGAGAGAUGCACCUUUUUCAGAGGAGAUUCAGGAAAUGACGGAUUUCCAGAUAACUGCUUAGGUGCUUGGGGAACGAGUGGGGGGCUGGGUGAAAGGACUUGGAAGUGGAUACAUCACCCCAACAACAUCAUCAUCUAUGGGUGCGGCGGCUCGUGCAGACAUGGAACGAGCGCAUCGAGAUGUCGAGUCUCAUGCUUAGGAGGUGGUUCAACAGGUGCAGAUGGUGGAAAUGGAGAAUAAGUAAUUGAAAGACACGGUCUCCACCAUUGUAGUGGAGAACCAAGAAUUGAAAGACAUGGUGUCCACCGUUGUAGUGGAGAACCAGAAAUUGAAAGACAUGGUGUCCACCUUUUAAGUCUAGUUGGAAGCCAUGAUGAAUAGGAAAGCGUAGUUCGAACAAAUGAUGCACCAAUCUCGACCAGAUGAUGCAAGUGGCUUCUCUCAUUAGAAGGGUUCGUGGCUGUCAUAACAUCAACACGAUGCCAGGCACGCAUGCACUACAGUCGUUGGAUGCAACUUUUGAUUAUUUCUUUGUAAUUUUUAUUGUUAUUUAAAUAAAUAAAAUUUUUGUAUUUUAAUUUGAAUUUGUAUUAGUAUUUGUAUUUGAAUUUUGAAUUUUUUGAAUUUUUUUUAUCUUUUAUUUCUUUAUUUUAAUUGAAUUUGUAUUUGAAUUCAAAAUUUUGAAUAAUUUAUGAAUUUUGUAGUAAUUAUGGUUUCA